rnacentral:tRNA from 3 species
CGGGGCGUAGCGCAGCCCGGUAGCGCACUUGACUGGGGGUCAAGGGGUCGCAGGUUCAAAUCCUGCCGUCCCGACCA